GACGAACGCUGGCGGCGUGCUUAACACAUGCAAGUCGAACGGAAAGGCCCUGCUUUUGUGGGGUGCUCGAGUUGCGAACGGGUGAGUAACACGUGAGUAACCUGCCCUUGACUUUGGGAUAACUUCAGGAAACUGGGGCUAAUACCGGAUAGGAGCUCCUGCUGCAUGGUGGGGGUUGGAAAGUUUCGGCGGUUGGGGAUGGACUCGCGGCUUAUCAGCUUGUUGGUGGGGUAGUGUCUUACCAAGGCUUUGACGGGUAGCCGGCCUGAGAGGGUGACCGGCCAAAUUGGGACGGAGAUACGGCACAGACUACUACGGGAGGCAGGAGUGGGGAAUAUUGCACAAUGGGCGGAAGCCUGAUGCAGCAACGCCGCGUGCGGGAUGAGGGCCUUCGGUUUGUAAACCGCUUUCGCCUGUGACGAAGCGUGAGUGACGGUAAUGGGUAAAGAAGCACCGGCUAACUACGUG
rnacentral:rRNA from 1 species